GAUGAACGCUAGCGAUAGGCCUAACACAUGCAAGUCGAGGGGCAGCAUAGGGUAGCAAUACUUUGAUGGCGACCGGCGCACGGGUGAGUAACACGUAUGCAACCUACCUACAACAGGGGAAUAACCCGGAGAAAUUCGGACUAAUACCGCAUAAAACAGGGGUCCCGCAUGGGAAUAUUUGUUAAAGAUUUAUCGGUUGUAGAUGGGCAUGCGUUCCAUUAGAUAGUUGGUAAGGUAACGGCUUACCAAGUCAGCGAUGGAUAGGGGAACUGAGAGGUUUAUCCCCCACACUGGUACUGAGACACGGACCAGACUCCUACGGGAGGCAGCAGUGAGGAAUAUUGGUCAAUGGGCGUUAGCCUGAACCAGCCAAGUAGCGUGAAGGAUGACUGCCCUAUGGGUUGUAAACUUCUUUUAUAUAGGAAUAAAGUGUACCACGUGUGGUAUUUUGUAUGUACUAUAUGAAUAAGGAUCGGCUAACUCCGUGCCAGCAGCCGCGGUAAUACGGAGGAUCCGAGCGUUAUCCGGAUUUAUUGGGUUUAAAGGGUGCGUAGGCGGGCUAUUAAGUCAGCUGUGAAAGUUUGAGGCUCAACCUUAAAAUUGCAGUUGAUACUGGUAGUCUUGAGUAUAGUAGAGGUUGGCGGAAUUCGUGGUGUAGCGGUGAAAUGCUUAGAUAUCACGAAGAACUCCUAUUGCGAAGGCAGCUGACUAUGCUAUAACUGACGCUGAUGCACGAAAGUGUGGGUAUCAAACAGGAUUAGAUACCCUGGUAGUCCACACAGUAAACGAUGAAUACUCGUUGUUUGCGAUAUACCGCAAGCGACCAAGCGAAAGCAUUAAGUAUUCCACCUGGGGAGUACGCCGGCAACGGUG
rnacentral:rRNA from 1 species